rnacentral:rRNA from 1 species
UACGUAGGGUGCAAGCGUUGUCCGGAAUUAUUGGGCGUAAAGAGCUCGUAGGCGGUCUGUCGCGUCGGCUGUGAAAACCCGGGGCUCAACCCCGGGCCUGCAGUCGAUACGGGCAGACUAGAGUGCGGUAGGGAGACUGGAAUUCCUGGUGUAGCGGUGAAAUGCGCAGAUAUCAGGAGGAACACCGGUGGCGAAGGCAGGUCUCUGGGCAUUAACUGACGCUGAGGCGCGACAGCGUGGGGAGCAAACAGG